rnacentral:rRNA from 1 species
AGCGAACGCUGGCGGCAUGCCUAACACAUGCAAGUCGCACGGGGGGGCUUCGGCCUCCCAGUGGCGGAAGGGUGGGGACCGCGUAGGGACCUGUCGAGGGGUGGGGGAUAACCGCGGGAAACUGCGGCUAAUACCGCAUGACGCCGCGGCGUGACAGCCGGGGCCAAAGGCGAAAGCCGCCCGCCGAGGGGCCUGCGUCCGAUUAGCUGGUUGGCGGGGUAGCGGCCCACCAAGGCGUCGAUCGGUAGCUGGUCUGAGAGGGUGAUCAGCAACACCGGGACUGAGACACGGCCCGGACUCCUACGGGAGGCAGCAGUGGGGAAUAUUGGACAAUGGGCGCAAGCCUGAUCCAGCAAUGCCGCGUGGGUGAAGAAGGUCUUCGGAUUGUAAAGCCCUUUCGGCGGGGAGGAUGGUGACGGUACCCGCAGAAGAAGCCCCGGCUAACUUCGUG